rnacentral:pre_miRNA from 1 species
AGGGGGAGGCCGGAUCCUGGGCUGUGUCCGGCGCCCUGUGCUCCGGGUCUGUGCUGUAGGAAUCGCGCUCCAGGCCGGGCAGCCCCCU